rnacentral:rRNA from 1 species
AGUGAACGCUGGCGGUAGGCCUAACACAUGCAAGUCGAACGGUAGCACAGUAAGAGCUUGCUCUUACGGGUGGCGAGUGGCGGACGGGUGAGGAAUACAUCGGAAUCUACUUUUUCGUGGGGGAUAACGUAGGGAAACUUACGCUAAUACCGCAUACGACCUACGGGUGAAAGCAGGGGAUCUUCGGACCUUGCGCGAUUGAAUGAGCCGAUGUCGGAUUAGCUAGUUGGCGGGGUAAAGGCCCACCAAGGCGACGAUCCGUAGCUGGUCUGAGAGGAUGAUCAGCCACACUGGAACUGAGACACGCUCCAGACUCCUACGGGAGGCAGCAGUGGGGAAUAUUGGACAAUGGGCGCAAGCCUGAUCCAGCCAUACCGCGUGGGUGAAGAAGGCCUUCGGGUUGUAAAGCCCUUUUGUUGGGAAAGAAAAGCAGCAGGUUAAUACCCCGCUGUUCUGACGGUACCCAAAGAAUAAGCACCGGCUAACUUCGUG